rnacentral:rRNA from 1 species
UAAGGUGGUUAUUGCGGCGGGGCUCACCUCUUCCCAUUCCGAACAGAGAAGUUAAGCCCGCCUGCGCAGAUGGUACUGCAAUUUGUGGGAGAGUAUGUCGCCGCCUUCUUUUAGAAACCCUUCAUGGAAACAUGAGGGGUUUUUUGUUUAAUCUGAACUUGAUUCAGAUUCUUUUGUUUUGCCACACAGAAAGAAAGGCACGAAGAUUAGGUUGAUUAAGAACUGAACACUGAACACUGCUACUUUUUUUGGAAUUGAUUUGGUUUAAAAUGCUUUGAUGCACUGGACUUGCGUGAGGGAUAGUAGCGGAAAGCCCGCAGGAGAAAGGUUUGUGUUUUUGCGGGUUGAGCCGGCGACCAAAGAAGCCGAGCACAGCCCGACAAAAACCAACCUUUGGACGAGGACUUGCAGCGAAAAGCCCGACC